UGCGCGCUAACUGCAAGUCGAGCGGAGUGAUGGUGCUUGCACUAUCACUUAGCGGCGGACGGGUGAGUAAUGCUUAGGAAUCUGCCUAUUAGUGGGGGACAACAUUUCGAAAGGAAUGCUAAUACCGCAUACGUCCUACGGGAGAAAGCAGGGGAUCUUCGGACCUUGCGCUAAUAGAUGAGCCUAAGUCGGAUUAGCUAGUUGGUGGGGUAAAGGCCUACCAAGGCGACGAUCUGUAGCGGGUCUGAGAGGAUGAUCCGCCACACUGGGACUGAGACACGGCCCAGACUCCUACGGGAGGCAGCAGUGGGGAAUAUUGGACAAUGGGCGCAAGCCUGAUCCAGCCAUGCCGCGUGUGUGAAGAAGGCCUUAUGGUUGUAAAGCACUUUAAGCGAGGAGGAGGCUACUGAAGUUAAUACCUUCAGAUAGUGGACGUUACUCGCAGAAUAAGCACCGGCUAACUCUGUGCCAGCAGCCGCGGUAAUACAGAGGGUGCAAGCGUUAAUCGGAUUUACUGGGCGUAAAGCGCGCGUAGGCGGCUAAUUAAGUCAAAUGUGAAAUCCCCGAGCUUAACUUGGGAAUUGCAUUCGAUACUGGUUAGCUAGAGUGUGGGAGAGGAUGGUAGAAUUCCAGGUGUAGCGGUGAAAUGCGUAGAGAUCUGGAGGAAUACCGAUGGCGAAGGCAGCCAUCUGGCCUAACACUGACGCUGAGGUGCGAAAGCAUGGGGAGCAAACAGGAUUAGAUACCCUGGUAGUCCAUGCCGUAAACGAUGUCUACUAGCCGUUGGGGCCUUUGAGGCUUUAGUGGCGCAGCUAACGCGAUAAGUAGACCGCCUGGGGAGUACGGUCGCAAGACUAAAACUCAAAUGAAUUGACGGGGGCCCGCACAAGCGGUGGAGCAUGUGGUUUAAUUCGAUGCAACGCGAAGAACCUUACCUGGCCUUGACAUAGUAAGAACUUUCCAGAGAUGGAUUGGUGCCUUCGGGAACUUACAUACAGGUGCUGCAUGGCUGUCGUCAGCUCGUGUCGUGAGAUGUUGGGUUAAGUCCCGCAACGAGCGCAACCCUUUUCCUUAUUUGCCAGCGAGUAAUGUCGGGAACUUUAAGGAUACUGCCAGUGACAAACUGGAGGAAGGCGGGGACGACGUCAAGUCAUCAUGGCCCUUACGGCCAGGGCUACACACGUGCUACAAUGGUCGGUACAAAGGGUUGCUACCUAGCGAUAGGAUGCUAAUCUCAAAAAGCCGAUCGUAGUCCGGAUUGGAAUCUGCAACUCG
rnacentral:rRNA from 1 species